rnacentral:rRNA from 1 species
GAUGAACGCUGGCGGCGUGCCUAAUACAUGCAAGUCGAGCGAAUGGAUUGAGAGCUUGCUCUUAUGAAGUUAGCGGCGGACGGGUGAGUAACACGUGGGUAACCUGCCCAUAAGACUGGGAUAACUCCGGGAAACCGGGGCUAAUACCGGAUAACAUUUUGAACCGCAUGGUUCGAAAUUGAAAGGCGGCUUCGGCUGUCCCUUAUGGAUGGACCCGCGUCGCAUUAGCUAGUUGGUGAGGUAACGGCUCACCAAGGCAACGAUGCGUAGCCGACCUGAGAGGGGGAUCGGCCACACUGGGACUGAGACACGGCCCAGACGCCUACGGGAGGCAGCAGUAGGGAAUCUUCCGCAAUGGACGAAAGUCUGACGGAGCAACGCCGCGUGAGUGAUGAAGGCUUUCGGGUCGUAAAACUCUGUUGUUAGGGAAGAACAAGUGCUAGUUGAAUAAGCUGGCACCUUGACGGUACCUAACCAGAAAGCCACGGCUAACUACGUGCCAGCCGCCGCCGCAG